CAGCUCUGAACUGUCCUCGGGCUCCUUUGCUCCUCACAGUGCCCUAAAACAACUGUCUCUCAACAAAAAUUUUUCAACGUUUUCUCACUGCUGCAGCUGGCCUGGAAUAUCCUGCUACCUAGAGAUGAAUACGGCUGGCUUCUGUGCAGAAAUUAACCUCUGGAUCGUCUGGAAAGCAACUGUCAUACCUUUAAUACCAUUAAGCUUAUUUUGAAAAUAAUGUUAUUAAGUUAAGAAAAGAAUUAGAAUUAAACUUCUCUGUUGAAAAUACACAAA